rnacentral:tRNA from 1 species
GGGGCUGUAGCUCAGUGGUAGAGUGCUUGCCUAGCAUGCAUGAGGCAAUGGGUUCAAUCCUCAGCUCCC